UUUUGUCCGUCACGUGACCGGUGGUUCUCUGAAAGGCUUUUCUUUUCUUUUUUUUUUGCCACACCCGGUUCCUUUUCCCUGUGGAAAUUUGAGCAGCUGGAAAAGAAAAAAGGAAGGAAGAAAAGGGAUGGAAAAGAAAGCAUUUAUCAGCUCAGUGCCUGCCUGCCAUGUAUCUGAAGCUGUGUAACUCUGCUCUAGCAGAAGUACUACAUCUGGCAUAGUUGCUGCAAUUAGAACUACCUUGUUGAAUUUGUGGUAGUCUACUAUCACCCUCCAAGAUCCAUCUGGUUUUUGUAAGACCCAGACUGGUGAAUUAAAUGGAGAUACACUGGGGACCAGGAUCCCUGCAUCCUUCAGGUUUGUAAAGGGAAUGUGAUGAUCAUUCACCAGAGAACAGAUGUGAAAUCACUUUACAGUCAAACAGCAGUGCAGGUAGGUGGAAUCAAUAUUAUUGUGAUCUCAGAGGCAGUGUAGAGUGGACACCUGGUCUGGCACUGACUCCUUUGACCAUAUCUGCUCAUGGAUUUUCCAUUUCCCCUCUUUAUGGACAUCUUUGCAAAAAAAAAGGCAAUAAAAGGAUUCACAGGCUCAUCAAUAAUCCCCUGGAGCUCUAUGUUAAAUUGAUUGGCCAUCUGUCCUCUCCGGGAUCUCCCACACGUAGUCAAACUUCCUUCUCUUUACACUCAGUAGGCACGCUUUUACACCAUUUCUUUACUUGGGUUUGACUUAUAGUCACUGAUAAAGGCUGAACUGUGUCCUUCCCUAAUUCAUGUGUUGAAGUCCUAAUCCGCCCCCUAGGACCUCAGAAUGGGACUGCAUUUGGAGAUGGGGCUUUAAAAGAGGUAAUUAAGAUAAAAUGCAGUCAUAUGGAUAAGCCCUAAUUGAAUAUAGCUGGUGUUCUUAUAAGAAGAGGAGAUUGGGACACAGACACACCCGGAGGAAGGAGCCGGUGAAGACAGACAAGCCAGCCAUCUACAAGCCAAGGAGAGAAGCUUCAGAAUGAAACCAACGCUGCUGACACCUUGAUCUUGGACUUCUAGCCUUCAGAACUGUGAGGAAAUGAAUUCCUGCUGUUUAAGCCACUCAGUCUGUGGUACUUUGUUAUGGCAGCCCUAGCAAGCCAAUACAGUAAUUUAAGAUGUGUUGUUUCAGUAAAGGCAGGCCAGUCUAGUGGAUUUGAUCAAUUCAAUCAAACCAGUGGGUUAAGAAAAAAAAAUUUUUUUUAAUGGGGAAAGAAUGCUGCAGAAUCAGAUCCAGCAUCACAUGGAAGUAUGGUGAAAUAGUGGCUUCUUUGCACUGCAGCCUUGAGUUUCUGUCACUCACCCAUGUAGCCAUGGAUGGACAUCUAUUUUUCUUCUUAUUCAGAUGUGGGCACAGACCCUUAAUUGCAACACCAAAUGCACUUCUCCUUUGGAAACACCCUAGUUUUUCAGUGCAUUCAUUCUCUCUUUUUUGGUUCCUUUUCCAACAAAGAACUAAACCCACCCAGUGACAACAUAAAUGCUAGUGCUUUAUACAAUUUCAUAAUGAUUUCUUUCUUCAUUUCUUUCUGAAGAAUACCUACUACAUAAAGAAUGUUUUGUUUUAAUUUUAGUUUUCCCUAUUGAAUCUUACUGGGAAAUGUGACAUUUCUGGGAAAUUUUGAAAAUGUAAAGACUCAUAUAGCUCUGGUCAGGGUGAACCCAGCACCAACUGGUCAUUCAAGUCUGUGCUACAAACACAGACCUCACUGCCUGGAUCUUGUCAAAACAUAUUAGGGAAUUAUUUCAUAAAACUGAAGGUUUCCCCUAAAAGAUCCAAGUAAAGCCUGUUCCUUAUAGUCAACAAUGUUUUAUACUUUAAAAACUAAAUAGAUUAAUGGAAAAGUUUCA